AAUGAACGUUGGCGGCGUGGAUUAGGCAUGCAAGUCGUGCGCGAAUCGUAGCAAUACGAGGAGAGCGGCGAAAGGGAGAGGAUAGCAUAGAUACCUACCCCCGGACCUGGGAUAGCUAUGGGAAACUAUAGGUAAUACCAGAUAAUGUCUCCGGACCAGAGGUGUGACUCCGUCCGAGGAGGGGUCUAUGUCCUAUUAGCUUGUUGGUGAGGUAAUGGCUCACCAAGGCCAAGAUGGGUACGAGGCGUGAGAGCGUGUCCUCGCUCACUGGGACUGAGACACUGCCCAGACACCUACGGGUGGCUGCAGUCGAGAAUCUUCGGCAAUGGGCGCAAGCCUGACCGAGCGACGCCGCGUGCGGGAUGAAGGCCUUCGGGUUGUAAACCGCUGUCAGUGCGGAGGAAAUAUAGUGGGGUACUCCCCAUUAUUUGACCUAUGCGCAGAGGAAGGACGGGCUAAGUUCGUGCCAGCCGCCGCUGUAAAAC
rnacentral:rRNA from 1 species